UGAGCAAUCUGCCCUUCUCUUCGGAAUAAGCGUGGGAAACCGCGUCUAAUGCCGAAUACGACCUCCUUUCGCAUGAUCGGAGGUGGAAAGCUCCGGCGGAGAAGGAUGAGCUCGCGGCCUAUCAGCUAGUUGGUGUGGGUAAUGGCCCACCAAGGCGACGACGGGUAGCCGGCCUGAGAGGGUGACCGGCCACACGUGGGACUAAGACACGGCCCAGACUCCGUACGGGAGCAGCAGG
rnacentral:rRNA from 1 species